UACGAGGUUUUCGAAUCGGAAGACAGGUGUCGGAGAAGAGUCGGAUGAGAGUACGGGAUCGCCUGACCGAAACCCUCGCGAUUGAGAUCGAGCGAAGCGGAGGCGCAGGCGGGAGAGAUGCCGAAUAGGGAGCUAUUUGCCCGACCCAACGUCUCGUCGUCGGCGUCCGCCGAAGGGAACCGCAUGGCCUUCCUCAACUGGUCCGGUGGAGCUUUCUUCGAUCAGCACCUCGACGCCGAGUUGUGACACUUUGGGGAUGAUUGACUGUUGAUCCGGCAGAAGUGUUAUAAUGAGGCUACCUUGAAGAUGUACAUAUCAGUCAAAGCCAAGUUGUCAACUGCAAGCAGAUUAUGAAGGUAAAAGAUCAAUAUUGGAGGAUACACUAAAAUGAGACAGUCAACUGGAAUUAUCGAGGUGACUCUUCAGGAAACCCCAAGAAAACUCAAAAUCGCUUCAUCAUCACAGUAAGAUGUGCCAGGAAGGCUGCUGGGAAUGAAUUCUCAUUGUGAACUACAUUCUUCAUCAGAGGAACUGGAUCUUAACAGAUAUCUAACUCGCUUAGAACUAAGUCUACUCCUUUUACCAAGGGAAGUCAAUCAUGUACAGAACCAGCUUGACGGGACUUCAUGUUGAGCCGACAAUUCCACAUUGGCAAAAUUCAUCAGUCCUUGCAUUAUUGCAUGCAAUGCUCGUCGGCAGGACUUCAUUAUAAGUUGAAUCUGUAGGUUAGCAAAUUAAUGGACAUGACAUUUUUUGAAGUCUGAAAAAUAUCUUAGACUGUGUCCCAUUGUGGUGGGUGAGAUGGGCCUGCCUCAAUCAAUCAUUUGUGACCAA